CAUUUGGAGACAAAACAUUGGGAUUUGAUGCAGCGUUUUUAUAAAAUUUUAAAAAUCACAAAAGUCUGGGUUAAAAUUAAGAUAAAAACUAAAAACCAAAUGUGUGACGCUGUGUUUUGUGCCUCAGGAUAUAAGAAAGAAGGCGUCCAAGUUCCUGAAUUGCCUUUUCAUAGAUUUCCAAAUUGUCCUGAAAUUAGAACUGCGUGGAUUUGGACAAUAAAACGAAAAUCUGGAAGUGAAAGGUUAUAAAGGACGAACGAAACAAACUUCGAGAGCUGGCUAAUAAUGAAACAAAAA